rnacentral:rRNA from 1 species
UUUGUCGAAACCGGGAUAUUCUUUAUAGCUUGCUACGAGGAUAAUUAGUGGCAGACGGGUGAGUAAUGCAUAGGAAUCUACCUAGUAGUAUAGGAUAGCCACUAGAAAUGGUGGGUAAUACUGUAUAAUCCCUGCGGGGGAAAGAUUUAUCGCUACAUGAUGAGCCUAUGUUAGAUUAGCUAGUUGGUAGGGUAAAGGCCUACCAAGGCGAUGAUCUAUAGCUGGUCUGAGAGGAUGAUCAGCCACACUGGAACUGAGAUACGGUCCAGACUCCUACGGGAGGCAGCAGUGGGGAAUAUUGGACAAUGGGCGCAAGCCUGAUCCAGCUAUGCCGCGUGAGUGAGGAAGGCCUUAGGGUUGUAAAACUCUUUCAGUAGGGAAGAUAAUGCGGUAU